rnacentral:rRNA from 1 species
GGAGUCUGCAACUCGACUCCAUGAAGCUGGAUUCGCUAGUAAUCGCGCAUCAGCCAUGGCGCGGUGAAUACGUUCCCGGGCCUUGUACACACCGCCCGUCAAGCCAUGGAAGCCGGGGGUGCCUGAAGUGCGUGACCGCAAGGAGCGCCCUAAGGUAAAACCGGUNACUGGGGCUAAGUCGUAACAAGGUACC